rnacentral:rRNA from 1 species
UACGGAGGGGGCUAGCGUUGUUCGGAAUUACUGGGCGUAAAGCGCGCGUAGGCGGACCUGCAAGUCGGGGGUGAAAGCCCGAGGCUCAACCUCGGAACUGCCUUCGAUACUGCGGGUCUCGAGUCCGGGAGAGGAGAGUGGAAUUCCUGGUGUAGCGGUGAAAUGCGCAGAUAUCAGGAAGAACACCAAUGGCGAAGGCAGCUCUCUGGGACGGUACUGACGCUGAGACGCGAAAGCGUGGGGAGCGAACAGG